rnacentral:lncRNA from 1 species
AAACCUUUUUUAUUUUAUAUUGAAUUAAUAUAUAUCUUUAUGGUAACUCUCUAAGGUUUGUACUAUGAAAAGAUGGUUGGUAGUUCGUCUUCCAGCUUUGUUGAUAUAGUAGUGAUUGAAGAAAGAAUAUCAAGUGGGUUCAAGUCAGGAAAGAUCUCUAGUGGUAAUAGUACUCAAUAAUCAGCAGCUAGGAAGCUUCCGAGUAGUUAUGCAAAGAAGAAGGAAGGAAAAACAAAUGAUGUGACGGUAAGUGUCCUAAAUAC